CUACGGGCGGCUGCAGUGGGGAAUAUUGGGCAAUGGGCGAAAGCCUGACGCAGCAACGCCGCGUGAGUGAUGAAGGCCUUCGGGUCGUAAAGCUCUGUCAAGUGGGAAGAACCUAUGUAAUGUUAAUAUCAUUAUAUACUGACGGUACCACUGAAGGAAGCACCGGCUAACUCCGUGCCAGCAGCCGCGGUAAUACGGGGGGUGCAAGCGUUAUUCGGAAUCAUUGGGCGUAAAGGGCACGUAGGCGGCCUGGUAAGUCAGAUGUGAAAGCCCGGGGCUUAACCCCGGAAGUGCAUUUGAUACUGUCAGGCUUGAGUAUGGGAGAGGGAAGUGGAAUUCCUGGUGUAGAGGUGAAAUUCGUAGAUAUCAGGAGGAACACCGGUGGCGAAGGCGACUUCCUGGACCAAUACUGACGCUGAGGUGCGAAGGCGUGGGUAGCAAACAGGAUUAGAUACCCGCAUAGUC
rnacentral:rRNA from 1 species